GUUCAAGGAGGCAAGGCCAGGGGUAAAGAAGGUAGCCUUGGUGAUCACUGAUGGACAGACAGAUUCCCGAGAUAAAAGGAAACUGGCAGAUGUGGUGAAGGAUGCCAAUGACUCCAAAGUGGAAAUAUUUGUGAUUGGGGUGGUAAAGAAGGAUGACCCCAACUUUGAAAUUUUUCACAAAGAAAUGAAUCUCAUUGCUACUGACUCAGAACACGUGUAUCAGUUUGAUGACUUCUUUACCCUGCAAGAUACUCUGAAGCAAAAGCUGUCUAAAAAAAUUUGUGAAGAUUUUGACUCCUAUCUCAUACAAGUUUUUGGAUCAUCAUCUUUUCAACCUGAAUUUGGGGUGUCAGAGCGAGAGGUCAACAUAUCCACUCCAAAGCCUACAAAAGAAAUUU
rnacentral:lncRNA from 1 species